GAAGGAAAGAGGAAGAUGAAUUAGAGUGCCGGAGCCUAUGUAUCAGGAUCUCUUGUGGAUGUAAUAAAUAUUAAUUAACGCUGUUAAAUU